rnacentral:rRNA from 1 species
UACAGGGGGGGCAAGCGUUGUUCGGAAUUACUGGGCGUAAAGGGCUCGUAGGUGGCCAACUAAGUCAGACGUGAAAUCCCUCAGCUUAACUGGGGAACUGCGUCUGAUACUGGAUGGCUUGAGUUUGGGAGAGGGAUGCGGAAUUCCAGGUGUAGCGGUGAAAUGCGUAGAUAUCUGGAGGAACACCGGUGGCGAAGGCGGCAUCCUGGACCAAUACUGACACUGAGGAGCGAAAGCCAAGGGGAGCAAACGGG